CCGUAGCUCAGUUGGUAGAGCACCUGACUCUUAAUCAGGGUGUUCAGGGUUCGAACCCCUGCG
rnacentral:tRNA from 1 species